rnacentral:tRNA from 1 species
AGCGGAAUAGUAGCAGUUGGUAGCUCGUCAGGCUCAUAUCCUGAAGGUCGGUGGUUCGAGUCCACCUUCCGCAA